rnacentral:rRNA from 2 species
UGAACUUAAGCAUAUCAAUAAGCGGAGGAAAAGAAACCAACAGGGAUUGCCUCAGUAACGGCGAGUGAAGCGGCCACCCCCCCUCAAAUAUACGUGCUGUCCAUCGAAAACUCAGCCAAACUAGAUACCUAUCGCGCUUUCAAUCGCCUCCGCUGUGACAUGCCCUGUACUUUAACUUUCCAUAGUUGACCUCGGAUAUGCGAAGGGACCCACUGAACCUAACGAUAUUAAAACCUAGGA